rnacentral:rRNA from 1 species
GACGAACGCUGUCGGCGUGCUUAACACAUGCAAGUCGAACGGAAAGGCCCUGCUUUUGUGGGGUGCUCGAGUGGCGAACGGGUGAGUAACACGUGAGUAACCUGCCCUUGACUUUGGGAUAACUUCAGGAAACUGGGGCUAAUACCGGAUAGGAGCUCCUGCUGCAUGGUGGGGGUUGGAAAGUUUCGGCGGUUGGGGAUGGACUCGCGGCUUAUCAGCUUGUUGGUGGGGUAGUGGCUUACCAAGGCUUUGACGGGUAGCCGGCCUGAGAGGGUGACCGGCCACAUUGGGACUGAGAUACGGCCCAGACUCCUACGGGAGGCAGCAGUGGGGAAUAUUGCACAAUGGGCGGAAGCCUGAUGCAGCAACGCCGCGUGCGGGAUGACGGCCUUCGGGUUGUAAACCGCUUUCGCCUGUGACGAAGCGUGAGUGACGGUAAUGGGUAAAGAAGCACCGGCUAACUACGUGCCAGCAGCCGCGGUGAUACGUAGGGUGCGAGCGUUGUCCGGAUUUAUUGGGCGUAAAGGGCUCGUAGGUGGUUGAUCGCGUCGGAAGUGUAAUCUUGGGGCUUAACCCUGAGCGUGCUUUCGAUACGGGUUGACUUGAGGAAGGUAGGGGAGAAUGGAAUUCCUGGUGGAGCGGUGGAAUGCGCAGAUAUCAGGAGGAACACCAGUGGCGAAGGCGGUUCUCUGGGCCUUUCCUGACGCUGAGGAGCGAAAGCGUGGGGAGCGAACAGGCUUAGAUACCCUGGUAGUCCACGCUGUAAACGGUGGGUACUAGGUGUGGGGUCCAUUCCACGGGUUCCGUGCCGUAGCUAACGCUUUAAGUACCCCGCCUGGGGAGUACGGCCGCAAGGCUAAAACUCAAAGGAAUUGACGGGGCCCCGCACAAGCGGCGGAGCAUGCGGAUUAAUUCGAUGCAACGCGUAGAACCUUACCUGGGUUUGACAUGGAUCGGGAGCGCUCAGAGAUGGGUGUGCCUCUUUUGGGGUCGGUUCACAGGUGGUGCAUGGCUGUCGUCAGCUCGUGUCGUGAGAUGUUGGGUUAAGUCCCGCAACGAGCGCAACCCUUGUUCACUGUUGCCAGCACGUUAUGGUGGGGACUCAGUGGAGACCGCCGGGGUCAACUCGGAGGAAGGUGGGGAUGACGUCAAGUCAUCAUGCCCCUUAUGUCCAGGGCUUCACGCAUGCUACAAUGGCUGGUACAGAGAGUGGCGAGCCUGUGAGGGUGAGCGAAUCUCGGAAAGCCGGUCUCAGUUCGGAUUGGGGUCUGCAACUCAACCUCAUGAAGUCGGAGUCGCUAGUAAUCGCAGAUCAGCAACGCUGCGGUGAAUACGUUCCCGGG